AAGACCUUUAUGAUGCUCCACUUCCACUUAAUGAAUAGAACCUUCCACUAAUAUCUGGUCCAGGAAUGCUCAAUUCAUUCAGAAUAAGUAGGAAAAGAAAUGGCACAGUUCCACAUAAAUAUGCCUUAAGAAAAUAAUGUUUACAGAAAGCAGCAAGAUUUCCCUCCAGAAGUAAUGAAGCAGCCUCAGCCAUGAAAAUCAUGGAGCCAAAAGGAAGACCUUCAGCAGAAGCAGUUGCGAGCCAAAGAGGUCCAAGGGCACUGAGGAAGGAGCCAAGUGGUUAGGGCCACCACUGGCUGGGAUCCAGGAUGCCCAAGUGGGAGAAUGAGCAAGCCAGAGAGUGCUUGGUCUAGGGAUUAAGGAAGGCACACAGGAAUAGGUUGGACACCAAAUUUGAAAAUGAACAGUGAGAAAAAUGCUGUAGUGACGAGGAUCGAAAUGAAGUAACAGAACAAUUAAAAUUACGUGAUCCAGGGACAGAGAUUUGAAUCCAUAAACAGGCCUGUGUUGCCCAUUAGUCACAAGGGGAGCGGUGAGCCAUUGUUAAAAUGCCAAGGAUUCCCAAUGCAAUUUACUUGGAACUUUGCCCAGCGAUGAAGGAGUCUGACUUGUCUUUUCUGUAAUAGUUAGAAUCAAAGAAAAAUAAAGCACAGCUGGUGGGAGGGUGCAAAGCAAGCAUCAUGAACCAGGGUCUAAUUCAAGGAUCAAACUGCUGUCCAGUUCUGGCAGAUUUUGGAUUGCAAGGGGAAUAAAACUGAGAGGCCAUAUUGGCACCUAGGCACAGUGAGGUGAGUCUGGCCACCCAUUUUAACAAACCCCUGCAAAAUGAUAAAGGUGCUUACUAGAAACCGCCUCUGGCCUCUGGAAAAAAAGAAACAGCAUCUCCUGGGUGAGAAUAUCUGGGUCUCACACCUAUUGACCAGGUCAGAGAUAGGGUUCAGUUGGGGAUGGGAUAUAAUAAAAGGCAUGGGUAAAGAAACUGGGCAGAGGCAUAGUGCCUGCAUGUUGGAGGUUAAGGAGGGAAUUCAGUUCAGAAUUCAUUUUCCUAUAUAUAUUACAGCAAAGGUUAAGUUUGGAGGUUAAGUAAGGAUGCUGCAGCUCACUCGUGGCUGCUUUUCCUUCAGAGUACUCAUCCCUCAGCUUACCCAGGGGGACUCAAAGAGAGGAAUGUGUGUGUGUAUGUCUAUCUACCUAUCCAACCACCUUCUAAUCUACCUAAAUCAAUCACUGUGUGUAUCUUUUCCAACCACAAUGGACCCCUAUCAUUCAAUUUCAUAUAGUGGUACAUCUCAGGCCAGUUUACAGAAAAGCUGUAAAGGGCUGUAAAACGCUGUAUGAGAACAUAAUCUGAAAAGCGUUGCUCAAAAGAGCAUACUAUGUAUUAUUUGGCAUUUACGAAGAAAUUAGAUUUCACACUGAACUAGUUAAUAAAGAUUUAUAACUACAAAUGGGCUGCA